rnacentral:rRNA from 1 species
GGGGAAUUUUGGACAAUGGGCGCAAGCCUGAUCCAGCCAUUCCGCGUGAGUGAAGAAGGCCUUCGGGUUGUAAAGCUCUUUCGCAAGGGAAGAAAACUUAACCUCUAACAUAGGUUGAGGCUGACGGUACCUUGAUAAGAAGCACCGGCUAACUACGUGCCAGCAGCCGCGGUAAUACGUAGGGUGCGAGCGUUAAUCGGAAUUACUGGGCGUAAAGCGUGCGCAGGCGGCCUGAUAAGUCAGAUGUGAAAUCCCCGAGCUCAACUUGGGAACUGCGUUUGAAACUAUCAAGCUAGAAUAUGUCAGAGGGGGGUAGAAUUCCACGUGUAGCAGUGAAAUGCGUAGAGAUGUGGAGGAAUACCAAUGGCGAAGGCAGCCCCCUGGGAUAACACUGACGCUCAUGCACGAAAGCGUGGGGAGCAAA